UUCAAGGCAAGCUGAGUCCAGCACAGCUACACUGCCCUUCCAGUCCUUUUCUCUGACACCCAGGGCCUUGGCAUUGGAGCCAGGUUAUCAGCCCAGAAAAGACUCUUUCUUGUGAUCUAGAAGAAAGGAUCUGAGUGACAGGCUUAGGUGCGUUGUCUGCGUCCCAGGAACAGAGCAAAGCACACUGGCUCAGGCAUGAGGAAGCCACACCCCAAUCCUGCCUUUCAGGUGCCAAUGGAGAACAACCCCUUCAGCGGAACCAUGGUGCUUUACAUCUCUCUCUGAACUCUCAGAUCUCCUAAGUGGAGAUGGCUGAUUAAGGCUCUUAUCUUUCACGUUCUAAAAUCAAUUUAGUGUUGUUCGGAGCCAGCAAUGUUAAAAUAUAUUUGUAUUUUGAAACAAAGUUAACAUAGAGAAAUGAAA
rnacentral:lncRNA from 1 species